rnacentral:rRNA from 1 species
AUUGAACGCUGGCGGCAUGCCUUACACAUGCAAGUCGAACGGCAGCACGGGAGCAAUCCUGGUGGCGAGUGGCGAACGGGUGAGUAAAGUAUCGGAACGUGCCCAGUCGUGGGGGAUAACGUAGCGAAAGUUACGCUAAUACCGCAUACGAUCUAUGGAUGAAAGCGGGGGAUCGCAAGACCUCGCGCGAUUGGAGCGGCCGAUAUCAGAUUAGGUAGUUAGUGGGGUAAAGGCUCACCAAGCCGACGAUCUGUAGCUGGUCUGAGAGGACGACCCGCCACACUGGGACUGAGACACGGCCCAGACUCCUACGGGAGGCAGCAGUGGGGAAUUUUGGACAAUGGGCGCAAGCCUGAUCCAGCCAUGCCGCGUGCAGGAUGAAGGCCUUCGGGUUGUAAACUGCUUUUGUACGGAACGAAAAGGUUUGGCCUAAUAAGCUGAGCUCAUGACGGUACCGUAAGAAUAAGCACCGGCUAACUACGUGCCAGCCGCCGCCGUAA